rnacentral:rRNA from 1 species
GAUGAACGCUGGCGGCGUGCCUAAUACAUGCAAGUCGAGCGAACAGACGAGGAGCUUGCUCCUCUGACGUUAUCGGCGGACGGGUGAGUAACACGUGGAUAACCUACCUAUAAGACUGGGAUAACUUCGGGAAACCGGAGCUAAUACCGGAUAAUAUAUUGAACCGCAUGGUUCAAUAGUGAAAGACGGUUUUGCUGUCACUUAUAGAUGGAUCCGCGCCGCAUUAGCUAGUUGGUAAGGUAACGGCUUACCAAGGCAACGAUGCGUAGCCGACCUGAGAGGGUGAUCGGCCACACUGGAACUGAGACACGGUCCCGACUCCUACGGGAGGCAGCAGCAGGGACUCUUACGCAAUGGGCGAAAGCUUGACGGAGCAACGCAGCGUGAGUGAUGAAGGUCUUCGGAUCGUAAAACUAUGUUAUUCGGGAAGAACAAAUGUGUAAGUAACUAUGCACGUCUUGACGGUACCUAAUCAGAAAGCCACGGCUAACUACGUG